GACGAACGCUGGCGGCGCGCUUAACACAUGCAAGUCGUACGGUAAGGCCCUUUCGGGGGUACACGAGUGGCGAACGGGUGAGUAACACGUGAGUAACCUGCCCACAACUUUGGGAUAACGCUAGGAAACUGGUGCUAAUACUGGAUAUGUGCUCCUGCUGCAUGGUGGGGGUUGGAAAGCUCCGGCGGUUGUGGAUGGACUCGCGGCCUAUCAGCUUGUUGGUGGGGUAGUGGCCUACCAAGGCGGCGACGGGUAGCCGGCCUGAGAGGGUGACCGGCCACAUUGGGACUGAGAUACGGCCCAGACUCCUACGGGAGGCAGCAGUGGGGAAUAUUGCACAAUGGGCGCAAGCCUGAUGCAGCAACGCCGCGUGCGGGAUGACGGCCUUCGGGUUGUAAACCGCUUUCAGCAGGGACGAAGCUUUUUGUGACGGUACCUGCAGAAGAAGCACCGGCUAACUACGUG
rnacentral:rRNA from 1 species